CAUGGCAUGAUGAGAAGGACAACAAAAAAGCAAAAGACUAUUGCGUCAUUGCGUCCCCCCCAGUUUCUCAAACCUAUCUGCGCGCCUGACCGGGACUAACAUUUCGAUUCUCCCGGAAGAAGAAACCCUACGGGUUCAUGGUGUAGAAGGAACAGAGUCUUUGACGUGCUGCACCGGCCUUCCUCCGCUGCCUCUUCCUCCAGCUCCAACCCUCAGCCUAGCACAACACUGCAGUCAGAAUCUGGCAUGUGGAGUGAGAAGUCCCGCAGGCCUGGACGGCUACUGGCUGCACUGAGGGCUAGAUAAGAACAGGGAGUGCAGAGCAAGACCAGUGAGAGGACAGAGUGUGACAGCGUGGAUGUCGGAUGGAUGGAGCAAAGGCAGAGUAGUCUCCUUGAAGAAAAAUAAAGAAAGUUAUGUUUUCAUCAGGAUAUGAUUCAGUUGAUCGACGGCAACAAUAACUCACAGGGCACAAGUCUAAAGUCAGACCUGUGAUGUUAUGACGGCUUUUCCUGAUGAGGGAUUACCAGCCACCGCACAGUAGCUAAAACAACAGGGUAUUUAGCACAUGUCAGGGCAUGGUGAAGGUGACACACACACAUUACAGACAUACACAAAAUAAUCCCUAACUCAGACUGCACUGUCUGUGAGUCAUAGCAGUACUCUCAUAGCUUUGCAUAAUGUACCAUACUCCGAAGAUCGUAGUUGUACACCCACUCGGUAACCCUGAAAAGUUCUCUGCAGCCGUCUAUGACAUGGAGCCCUGCUACAGUGAUCUUCAUUCUGCAGCAGGCACAUUUAUAUAAUAAUCUUCUGGUAAUGUAGUCACUCAUGUCAUAGAUGACAAGCUAUAACCAUCAUAAGUGGGCCAUUGCAUCCCUUUGCUGAAGUAAUGCCUUUAAUAGUCUGUCUUUUUUGCGUGUGUAGACAUCUAAAUCUUUCUUUUUUUUUCCCCCUCCUGCGUGCCCCCUCCUUUCAGUGUGUCGGUAUGGAUUUUUCUGUGCAUGUGACUCUGUAAUACAAAAGCGGGUUUCUCUGCAUAGAGCACAUUUUUGAUUUUUUUUCCUUCACAUGCUGUUAGGGUGUCAGAAUGAAUGAUAUAUACAGUACACUGCUGACUGUCAACUACCAGGAUGUGCACAGCUAUAAAUGUGCUUUGUGAGGUGAAUUUCAUGUGCGAGAUAUAACCCACGAUCCCUCAUCUUCGACAAUGCGUUUCGUCCUACUGUCAGUCUUUAAUGCUGACCAAAGCCCCCAGGGUAACAGCUAUGCUAGUGGAUUAUUGCUAUGAGUUCUGCUGCCUGUUUUAUCUCAUUUUAUCUUGUAAGUGCUGUGUCCACCUUUGUGGCUGUCAUGUAGCAGAAGAUCAAAGCAAAAUGAAGUAUAUUCGCUGCUCAGAUCAUGUUGUACUCUCACUAAUUACAAUAAGAGUGUGGUAUUUUAUGGUAAUAACUGAAAGGUUGU